rnacentral:tRNA from 1 species
GGAGAAGUGGCAGAGCGGUUGAAUGCACAGCACUCGAAAUGCUGCAUACUGAAAGGUAUCGAGGGUUCGAAUCCCCCCUUCUCCG